GGAUAUCUCAGAGGACACCGCGUACCCAGAGUCCUCAUUUGUUUCCCUUAAUGAAAAAUCAGUCUGAGCCCCAGAGCACGGCAGCUGAUGGAGUCAGGUCUCUGCAGCGGCGGCGGCGUGAGCAGCAGUAACAGUUUUUGAUCUCAAGUUUCCGAGUCAUUGGUAAAAAACCCCACUGCUGCGAGAUGCAUUCAUGACCAGACGGUUUUGCUGACUGGCUCUGGUUGCAUGGACUUGACCUCCACAGAGCAGAGGAUUGCAGCGUCCUCCACCCAAUGCAUUUGAGGGAAACAAAGGCAACAGAUGGUUGAAUCAACACUCAUGGAGGGUUUGGUAUUCCCUCCUCCUCCUCCUCCUCCUGCUGUUUGCUGCUGAGGAAAACGCCACAGCGGGGCCAAAAGCCAACAUUCAAACCAGAUUUGUGGCUCCAGUGAGUUAAUUUGGGGGAAGAGAUCUGGCACUGCACAUCUUCGGGGGGUGAUAAUCGUCCUUUCAGUGAAAAAUUAGCUAUAAUUAUGCAAACAUCGGAUCAUCUCCUUCUAUUAGAAUAUCAAGAUCAUUUCUCUCUGCAGUCGUAUUUGCUUCUGACGCCAUGAGGUAAAUCUGUCUCUUAUCGCGACUGUUAAACACAGAUCUUUUGCUUCUUUGGAACCGUUUAAAAGUACUUUUCCUGCUCAGGGUGAUUUGUUCGAGGAAUUUUGAUGACUCGCAGAGAUACAGACGUUCCACCGGGACACAAAAACACAGAAGAGGUUUUUAAAGAGGAAAAACACACUCGUCUGCACUUCAUAAACUGUACUCCAUCGACGUGUGAAAGGAGUCAAAUAUGAUUAGUCAUGUUUCUCUGUAACUCGAACAAUCAUCCUUUCGCUGGAUCAAAACCAUCAAAGGAUAAACAGUAGGCGGGAAACAGAUGUACUUAGUCAAACUCUUGUUCCCGAAAAUUUAGCCGGCGUUCAGCAUGUCAGCUAAUAGUUUAAUUUACAGAUGCCAACAACGACAAUACACAGACUAAAUGGAUGUGAAGCUGAUGAAAACAUGGCCGCACUAGUGCUGACAUGUGUCUUUACAACAUAUGGAUAUCAUUUAUGAAGACUUUGAUUUUCUCAUUGGCUAACUAACCCAGUUUCUUUUAAAUAGCUGAAUAAAAACACUGAGACCACAGCAAAGGACCUGUGCUUUGAAUUUAAUGCUAACAUACGCAUGGUAAUACAGUCACAGUGACAAUGCAAUGAGGGUUUUUGCUGGUUUAACGUGUUGCCAUUGUCAUGUCUGCUAAGUUCCCUUUUACUUCUGUUGAUUUAUUGGUUGAGUUUCCUUUAUUUUUGCACAUUUAUGUUUUGUUCAUAUCAUGUAUUUCCUGUUUUAUUUUGUAGAUAACUAACUCUUGUUUCUGUCUUCUAGAUUUGUUCCUGUCUGGUCUGCGCCGCCCCCGUCGUCUCGUCAUACCUGUUACCUGAUUGUGUCCCCCCACCUGUUUACCAUCACCUUCAUUACUGCUUGUAUUUAACCUCAUGUGUCUCACCGUCUUGUCGCCAGUUCCUUGUACCUUGUUCAUAGUUCUAGUCAAGCCGUUGUUGUUUACCUUUGCCUAUCUUUUUGGACCUUCCCUUUUUGCCUCACGUUUUGCAUACUUCUGCCUGAUCUGACUGCCUUCUUGUGUACCGACCUCUGCUUGUGCUUCAUUAAACCCCGUCUCUUGAACAUACUGAUUCGUUGUCUUGCCAUUGUAUCUUCCUUUCUGUGCUUCGUUUCAUGACAUGAAUAAUGAGACUUCUUGUGCCAAACGUCACAAAUGAUUCAAAACAUAAAUGUAUGAGUUUACAUGGACUUUCGCCAGUUUGAUCAGGUUUACAAGAAUCUUGAUUUUGCGUUUGAGCAUGUUGAGGGUGACCAUAUAUAUUUGUCCUGCGCAUAAUCGGCCGUCGGCUACCCAAAUAUUUGUUUUUCUCUGUUUGCAUCCAAAUGAAGGGUUCAAAUAAUGGUUAAUGUCUCCUUUUUAAAAAAUAAUCAGGUACGUAUAAACGGGGCCUUAGUCCGACCUCUCUCACCCCUCUGUCUUGUUGCCCUCGGCUCGCACACUGAUAAGGGGGAAGGGUUCGCCAAGACUUCAGACUGACUGGUUCCAGAUGCAUCUUGUUGCCCGGGCUCGCCGGACAAAUGCAUCUCAGGUGGCUGAAGGCUUUCUUCUACACAGUAGGAAUUGCAUACUGGAGCAGUAUCAUGCCACCUUUACCUAAAAGCAUAUGCUGUCUGCAGGAAAGUUAUAAAUAAACAUUUCUUUACUGCUGUUUAAUGAAAAGAUCUGCUCCUGUUAGUCACAUUCAGCUGCACAAACCCCUUAAAAUCCUCUCUUUCAGUCAUAAAACUCAAGUUCAGCGACAUUACCACCAGGAUCCGUCUGUUGAGAGCAGAUCAAAGGUGCUAACACUCUGAGUUUAAAGGUCAUGACUCCAAUGGCUCGACUUCAAAUAAUGUUUCAUCUACUGAUUAACCUGUAUUCAGCUCUAUGUUAACGCCUCAUUUCUUAAAGAGCCAAGUACACGUGCAAAAACCAGAACCACACCAUAUGGCCACCAAUCCAGAUCCCAAGACUUUGGUCUUUUAUGAAAGAGGACAUUCCAGUGGGCUGGACUCAAAUACCUCCACAUUCUUCUGGAAAGUCCCAGCUGAAUGUUUUGCUGUCUUGUCUUUCGUUUCAGAUGUCCUGCUGAAGAAUAAAUCAAACCACAACCAACACACUCUCACUUUUAACUCGUCAAAUACAUUAGUCUGGUCUGCGGCCCGAAGUUUCACAAUAUGAUGAAUUAUGUUCCAUUUUAGCAUCAGUUCAGGACCUGCAGGGCUCUGUGGUCGGGUUAGUAAUAAUAAACAUGGAACUUCCAGUUCGAUUUAUAACAAACAAAAAAGUUAGUGGUCAUAGAUAGACUUUCAAAACAAAGCUUACUCAGAAACAUUUAAUAUUAUUUGACUAUCCUUGGCUCAACAGUUAACAUGUGAUUAAAGUUUACUUGUGUUAAAGCAUCAAAACUUUUUCAGCAGGUUCUUCAGGUUCACUUCUUGAUGGGUAACCAACAUUAGUUUGAAACUUUCUGUUUUCUCCCUUUUCCCUCCUUGUUCCUGAUGAAAAAGGAUAAUAGGGGGAGGCAGAGCGUACAGCCUUAACCACCAGGAAUGAGCUCCAACCCAGCAGGUUUCUUACCCUGGUUCUGCCCUCUAUUUAAUACUUCUCUAUGGACGUUUUAAUGUUUUCUCUGUUUUCUCUGUCUUCUCUUCCUUCAUAGGAAUAUUAGACAAGGGGGGAGGUAAAGCAUCCAGCCUGAUCUAGCAGGGGUUAGCUUCAGUUUAAACACGCUCAUCAUCCUGGCUCAGUUUUCUUCUGGCACCUGUCAACAUGUAUUUUCUCUGUUUCCUUUCUCUUUUAAUCCUCCUCUGA